CUGAGUACUACACUCUCUACCCUUUGUGAACUAUUAUACCUGUUGCUUCGGCGGCGCCCGCGAGGGUGCCCGCCGGUCUCAUCAGAAUCUCUGUUUUCGAACCCGACGAUACUUCUGAGUGUUCUUAGCGAACUGCCA
rnacentral:misc_RNA from 1 species